GUACCAGACUCCUACGGGAGGCAGCAGUGGGGAAUAUUGCACAAUGGGCGCAAGCCUGAUGCAGCCAUGCCGCGUGUGUGAAGAAGGCCUUCGGGUUGUAAAGCACUUUCAGCGGGGAGGAAGGCAUUAAGGUUAAUAACCUUAGUGAUUGACGUUACCCGCAGAAGAAGCACCGGCUAACUCCGUGCCAGCAGCCGCGGUAAUACGGAGGGUGCAAGCGUUAAUCGGAAUUACUGGGCGUAAAGCGCACGCAGGCGGUCUGUCAAGUCGGAUGUGAAAUCCCCGGGCUCAACCUGGGAACUGCAUUCGAAACUGGCAGGCUGGAGUCUUGUAGAGGGGGGUAGAAUUCCAGGUGUAGCGGUGAAAUGCGUAGAGAUCUGGAGGAAUACCGGUGGCGAAGGCGGCCCCCUGGACAAAGACUGACGCUCAGGUGCGAAAGCGUGGGGAGCAAACAGGAUUAGAUACCCCAGUAGA
rnacentral:rRNA from 1 species